GUUCAAUUCAAACGCACCAUCCUAAGCACACCUGUUCCUGCCCUGGAAUCCCUCAGCCAUGUUUGUCCCACAGAGCAUCACUAUCAAACAGCUCACUGUGGACUCCUCAUAGCAGAAGUACAGUAGGGGACAGCAAGUGUCAGUUCCAUCAGGACCCCUGAUAUAAUUAUUUCCUAUGGAACCAUUGUCCUGAGUCAGGAGCAUAGAUGAGGAAAGAAUGAGCGUGGCUGGCAUCGCUUCAUGAUUACAUUCUGGGAAAGAUCUUGCCUGUUAACCGCUAGAGAAGGAGGGAUGAUGCAGACAAUGAAGACUAGCAGACUGAAUUACUCUCUGAGAUGAGGAGUUUGCUAUUGCCAUUGCAGAGCUACUGGUGGAGGUUGUUGUUAAACAGCGGGUCUUGCAUGCAAGCUCUACAGUUAUGCACAGUAUUUCCAUGACAUCCCAAGCCAUGAGGUCCAUGCUGCUGUAUUCCCCUGUUUAACAAGUGUGGAAACUGAUAAUGCACUCACAAUGGCUGAUGUAUCUAAUGUUUUCUAUUGUGGACACAGGACACCCAGACUGAGAACCAAUGGCUCCGGUCUGAUUUAAACAUGGGUCCGUGCUCACACACUCAAUACCUACCCUCUGUGCUCACAAGUCCUGUGUGAGUAAUACUCCAAAUUAUUCUGUCUUGUUUUGCUCAAUGGUAUCCUCUAUCUUAUUAUAGAGUAUACCAUGUAUUGAGACAAGAAUGCCAGUCAUUCUGAGAAACAAAAUGCAACCAUUGAUUGUCAUUUUAAUUAGUGACAAAUAGUUGUGUCGAUCAUCAAACAUGCUUGUAUAAUUGGAUGAGAAGAGGUGUAACACGGGCCAAUGAUGACGAGGUUUCGGGAUUAUAAGUCACGGACCAGCAGAAGGUGCCUCAUGUGACCCUCUCAUGAAGGGGUUGCAAGUCAGGCAUGUGCACACA
rnacentral:lncRNA from 1 species